GCCUAACACAUGCAAGUCGAGCGGUAGCACAGAGAGCUUGCUCUCGGGUGACGAGCGGCGGACGGGUGAGUAAUGUCUGGGAAACUGCCUGAUGGAGGGGGAUAACUACUGGAAACGGUAGCUAAUACCGCAUAAUGUCGCAAGACCAAAGUGGGGGACCUUCGGGCCUCAUGCCAUCAGAUGUGCCCAGAUGGGAUUAGCUAGUAGGUGGGGUAACGGCUCACCUAGGCGACGAUCCCUAGCUGGUCUGAGAGGAUGACCAGCCACACUGGAACUGAGACACGGUCCAGACUCCUACGGGAGGCAGCAGUGGGGAAUAUUGCACAAUGGGCGCAAGCCUGAUGCAGCCAUGCCGCGUGUAUGAAGAAGGCCUUCGGGUUGUAAAGUACUUUCAGCGGGGAGGAAGGCGAUAAGGUUAAUAACCUUGUCGAUUGACGUUACCCGCAGAAGAAGCACCGGCUAACUCCGUGCCAGCAGCCGCGGUAAUACGGAGGGUGCAAGCGUUAAUCGGAAUUACUGGGCGUAAAGCGCACGCAGGCGGUCUGUCAAGUCGGAUGUGAAAUCCCCGGGCUCAACCUGGGAACUGCAUUCGAAACUGGCAGGCUAGAGUCUUGUAGAGGGGGGUAGAAUUCCAGGUGUAGCGGUGAAAUGCGUAGAGAUCUGGAGGAAUACCGGUGGCGAAGGCGGCCCCCUGGACAAAGACUGACGCUCAGGUGCGAAAGCGUGGGGAGCAAACAGGAUUAGAUACCCUGGUAGUCCACGCCGUAAACGAUGUCGAUUUGGAGGUUGUGCCCUUGAGGCGUGGCUUCCGGAGCUAACGCGUUAAAUCGACCGCCUGGGGAGUACGGCCGCAAGGUUAAAACUCAAAUGAAUUGACGGGGGCCCGCACAAGCGGUGGAGCAUGUGGUUUAAUUCGAUGCAACGCGAAGAACCUUACCUGGUCUUGACAUCCACAGAACUUAGCAGAGAUGCUUUGGUGCCUUCGGGAACUGUGAGACAGGUGCUGCAUGGCUGUCGUCAGCUCGUGUUGUGAAAUGUUGGGUUAAGUCCCGCAACGAGCGCAACCCUUAUCCUUUGUUGCCAGCGGUUCGGCCGGGAACUCAAAGGAGACUGCCAGUGAUAAACUGGAGGAAGGUGGGGAUGACGUCAAGUCAUCAUGGCCCUUACGACCAGGGCUACACACGUGCUACAAUGGCAUAUACAAAGAGAAGCGACCUCGCGAGAGCAAGCGGACCUCAUAAAGUAUGUCGUAGUCCGGAUUGGAGUCUGCAACUCGACUCCAUGAAGUCGGAAUCGCUAGUAAUCGUAGAUCAGAAUGCUACGGUGAAUACGUUCCCGGGCCUUGUACACACCGCCCGUCACACCAUGGGAGUGGGUUGCAAAAGAAGUAGGUAGCUUAACCUUCGGGAGGGCGCUUACCACUUUGUGAUUCAUGACUGGGGUGAAGUCGUAACAAGGUAACCGUAGGGGAACCUGCGGUUG
rnacentral:rRNA from 1 species